rnacentral:rRNA from 1 species
GUAGGUGGCAAGCGUUGUCCGGAAUUAUUGGGCGUAAGGCGCGCGCAGGCGGUCCUUUAAGUCUGAUGUGAAAGCCCACGGCUCAACCGUGGAGGGUCAUUGGAAACUGGGGGACUUGAGUACAGAAGAGGAAAGCGGAAUUCCAAGUGCAGCGGUGAAAUGCGUAGAGAUUUGGAGGAACACCAGUGGCGAAGGCGGCUUUCUGGUCUGUAACUGACGCUGAGGCGCGAAAGCGUGGGGAGCAAACAGGAUUAGAUACCCUGGUAGUCCACGCCGUAAACGAUGAGUGCUAAGUGUUAGGGGGUUUCCCGCCCCCCUUAGUGCUGCAGCUAACGCAUUAAGCACUCCGCCUGGGGAGUACGGCCGCAAGGCUG